UUAUUCGGAAUCACUGGGCUUAAAGCGCGUGUAGGCGGAUGAGCACGUCUGUCGCUGAAAUCCCCCGGCUCAACCGGGGAACGGGCGCGGAUACGGCUCGUCUCGAGGGGCGUAGGGGGACCUGGAACUUCCGGUGGAGCGGUGAAAUGCGUUGAGAUCGGAAGGAGCGCCCGUGGCGAAAGCGAGGUCCUGAACGCCUACUGACGCUGAGACGCGAAAGCCAGGAGAGCGAACGGG
rnacentral:rRNA from 1 species